AGACGGUGAAGGUAGGGAGAUGCAUCAUCGGUAUGAAGAUCAUAAAAAAUAUAAAAGAGACAGCAAUAGUGCUCACAGUAUAAAAGGUACCAGAAGUAUAGAAUAAUGAAUAGGUACUCACAUUUAAUUGGGCAGACUAACUGCUCAAUGUUUAGGUGUAAGUGGUAUAAUCCCCACCGUGGAUUCUUUUAGAGUAGUCCUCACUGGAAUUUAAAAUUGGACGUCAGGUAGAAAAUAAUAAAAAAGUAAAAUGGCAC